rnacentral:rRNA from 1 species
CAAUAGCGUAUAUUUAAGUUGCUGCAGUUAAAAAGCUCGUAGUUGGAUUUCGGGUGGGAAUGGCCGGUCCGCCGUUUCGGUGUGCACUUGCUACGCCCACCUUGCUGCCGGGGACGUGCUCUUGAGUUCACGCUCGGGACACGGAGUCGGCGAGGUUACUUUGAGUAAAUUAGAGUGUUCAAAGCAGGCCUACGCUCUGAAUACAUUAGCAUGGAAUAACACGAUAGGACUCUGGCCUAUCUUGUUGGUCUGUAGGACCGGAGUAAUGAUUAAGAGGGACAGUCGGGGGCAUUCGUAUUUCAUUGUCAGAGGUGAAAUUCUAGGAUUUAUGAAAGACGAACUACUGCGAAAGCAUUUGCCAAGGAUGUUUUCAUUAA